UAUUCUCCUAGUAUUAAUCAGUACAACUGACUUCCAAUCAUUUAGUCUCAGUAAAAAUCUGAGGGAGAAUAA
rnacentral:tRNA from 1 species